AAAAAAGUAUAGGCCUUGUGCGUAAAAAUAGGUUCUUCUUACGGCUGUCCCUGCCGUUGGAUCUGUGUAUAGCGCAGAAAGCCAUUAAAGCUCAGCAUCCAUUUUCCGCCAAAUUCCUUUGUCAAACAAAACUUAACAAAAUAUUCUGUUUGAUCAACCUCUACCUACGAUCAUCCAUAGAUUUAGGGUUCCGGUACACUGAGAAUGGCGGAGCCGGCAAGUCCAGGAGGCGGCGGCGGAAGCCAUGAGAGUGGCGGUGACCCGAGUCCUCAGUCCAACUUGCGAGAACAGGAUAGGUACCUACCGAUCGCUAAUAUUGGACGCAUAAUGAAGAAGGCAUUGCCUGCUAAUGGGAAGAUCGCUAAGGAUUCUAAAGACACGGUUCAGGAAUGCGUAUCUGAGUUCAUCAGUUUUAUUACUAGCGAAGCUAGUGACAAGUGUCAGAAAGAGAAGAGAAAGACGAUCAACGGAGAUGAUUUACUAUCAGCCCUGGCUACCUUGGGAUUUGAGGACUACAUUGAACCACUGAAGGUCUAUUUGACUCGAUACAGAGAGAUGGAGGGAGAUGCCAAGGGAUCUGCAAGGGUUGGUGAUGCAUCUGUUAGAAAAGAUGUAGUUGGAUGUCAGCUUGGGUCCAAUACGCAGUUCAUGUAUGAAGGUUCUUUUGCACAAGGCUUAGACUAUGGAAACUCCCAAUUAUGAAUUUUAAGAUGAACAAAGAACUUUGGAUGCAUACCCAAAAAAAAGCUGAAUACAUAGAACAGUGGUACCGUAUUAGUCAUGGACUAUCAGGCCCAUGGUAACCUCAGACCGGAAAUGCAACAGAAAGUUUCACCGGGUACCCUAUUUCGUCGCUCCUGUUUAACAUGUAUCUAUUUUUUUUAAAAAAAAGGCAGACUGAUAAGUAUAGGCAGCUUCAGACAAAAUUGUUUCUGCUAAUCAGUUGUCUCCUUCUAUCUCGUUGUAUUUGUGUCUAUACCUCAUUUCAUUGUAGGUAAAAGCAAAACUUUGAAGUUAAUUUUUUUUUACAUUAUAUUUCGAGACAGAUUAAAAAAGAAAGUGUGCUAUAUUAAACGGGACAAAAGAAGUACUUCUUAUUUGGAGUUAAGAGCUAGUUACAUUA